GACGAACGCUGGCGGCGUGCUUAACACAUGCAAGUCGAACGGAAAGGCCCUGCUUUUGUGGGUUGCUCGAGUGGCGAACGGGUGAGUAACACGUGUGUAACCUGUCCUUGACUUUGGGAUAACUUCAGGAAACUGGGGCUAAUACCGGAUAGGAGCUCCUGCUGCAUGGUGGGGGUUGGAAAGUUUCGGCGGUUGGGUAUGGUCUCGCUGCUUACCCGCUUGUUGGUGGAGUAGUGGCUUACAAAGGGUUUGACGGGUAGCCGGCCUGAGAGGGUGACCGGCCACAUGGGGACUGAGAUACGGCCCAGAAUCCUACGGGAGGCAGCAGUGGGGAAUAUUGCACAAUGGGCGGAAGCCUGAUGCAGAAACGCCGCGUGCGGGAUGACGGCCUUCGGGUUGUAAACCGCUUUCGCCUGUGACGAAGCGUGAGUGACGGUAAUGGGUAAAGAAGCACCGGCUAACUACGUG
rnacentral:rRNA from 1 species